rnacentral:rRNA from 1 species
GAUGAACGCUGGCGGCGUGCCUAAUACAUGCAAGUCGAGCGAACAGAUGAGGAGCUUGCUCCUCUGACGUUAGCGGCGGACGGGUGAGUAACACGUGGAUCACCUACCUAUAAGACUGGGAUAACUACGGGAAACCGGAGCUAAUACCGGAUAAUAUAUUGAACCGCAUGGUUCAAUAGUGAAAGACGGUUUUGCUGUCACUUAUAGAUGGAUCCGCGCCGCAUUAGCUAGUUGGUAAGGUAACGGCUUACCAAGGCAACGAUGCGUAGCCGACCUGAGAGGGUGAUCGGCCACACUGGAACUGAGACACGGUCCAGACUCCUACGGGAGGCAGCAGUAGGGAAUCUUCCGCAAUGGGCGAAAGCCUGACGGAGCAACGCCGCGUGAGUGAUGAAGGUCUUCGGAUCGUAAAACUCUGUUAUUAGGGAAGAACAAAUGUGUAAGUAACUAUGCACGUCUUGACGGUACCUAAUCAGAAAGCCACGGCUAACUACGUG